rnacentral:tRNA from 1 species
CACUGCACAGCUACUCUAGCAUUAACCUUUUAAGUUAAAGAUUGGGGGGUACACCCUCUGCAGCGA